rnacentral:rRNA from 2 species
UAGUAUGUGAUGUACCUAGUAGUAUCUACGAAUGAUAUGAUAUUAACCAAGUUAAUUAAAAUUCUAAGUGGAUAUAUGAUUAUGACAAUAUUUGCUUAUGUCUUGACCAAGUCACGUGCCAGCAGUCGCGGUAAUACGUGGAAGAUUAGUGUUAUUCAUCUUUAACAGGUUUAAAGGGUACCUAGACGGUUAAUUAAGCACUAUAAUGCACUAAUCAACUAGAGUUUAAUGUAGGAAGGAUUGAGUACGGUGAGUGUAGAGAUAUAAUUCUGUGAUACCAUUUAGGAACUGGUAAAGGUGAAGGCAACCUUCUAUGUAGAAACUGACGUUAAGGGACGAAGGCUCGUAUCAAAUAAUAGGAUUAGAUACCCUAGUAUUGUGGGCAGACAAUGAUGAGUGUCAUAUGUAAGAAAUUUAAUUUUUUUGUGUAUAAAUGAAAGUGUAAGCACUCCACCUCAAGAGUAACGUGGCAACAUGGGAACUGAAAUCAUUAGACCGUUUCUGAAACUCGUAGUGAAGUAUGUUGUUUAAUUUGUAAUUACGCAAAUAACCUUACCACAAUUUGUAUAACUAUAGUAUAUAAUAAUAUAGUUACAAGCGUUGCACGGCUGUCUUCAGUCAAUGUUGUGAAACUGUGGUUAGAUCCAUUAAAUUGACGUAAACCCUUACUUUAUUUAUAAUAAAGUAGU